rnacentral:misc_RNA from 1 species
GUGAAUACAAACGCUUGGGUGUCUCUGCUUCGGCAAGCCCCUCGCACCCUUCACAUCCAUAACACCUGUGCACUGUAAGAUGACUCUAAGGCUUCGGCCUCUGGGUUGUCUGACCUUUUUACAAAACAAUUAUAUGUAACAAAUGUAGUCUUAUUAUAACAAAAUA